CUCUUAAACCCUUGUGAGAUUAUGCUUAUGUUGAACCCUAGGUUGAUUUGUGGUGAUUUAUAUGUAUAUAGUUUGAUUAUUGUGGCUUUGGGAGCUUUUGGAACUUAUUUGUGCUUGUUGGAGUGGAUUUGAAAGCUUAGAUUAUGGUUGGAAGCUUGUUGGUGCUCAUUUUGAGUUUGGGUGCAUAAAGGGAAUCGGCCAAGAUGCAGGUCGCAACCCACCUCGGUGAGUUGCUUUGGUUGGUGACAGAAGCAGAGAAUCUUGGAUCAUUUUGGAGUUCUUUUUGGUUUAUUUUGUUUAUACAUCUCUCCUUUUGUAUUUUGUUUUGCCUAGAGGCAUGUAUUUGAGAGAACAAAACUUGUAUAAGCUGUUUUCACUGUAUGGUUUUGUAUAUCAGUAUAUGGCUAACCGGCUUAAACUCUGCGAGUCGUGACUAGUUCCCUAUGAUAUUAUAUACUUAUCUUUUGUUAUAUCUUCUCUGUUUCUUAUGCCUUAAGCUAGUAGCUCCGUUAGUACGUUUGUGCUUCGAAAUUCUGUUUUUGAGCUAUAUCUUUCAUCGGGCUUCUAGAU